rnacentral:lncRNA from 1 species
GGCUCCCGGCCGCCGCCACCUUCCCCGUGCAAGACCCGGCCAGCGGCGCCGCUCUGGGCAUGGUAGCCGACUGCGGGGUGCGAGAGGCCCGCGCCGCCGUGCGCGCUGCCUACGAGGCUUUCUGCCGCUGGAGGGAGGUCUCCGCCAAGAGAGGAGUUCAUUACUUCGGAAGUGGUACAAUUUAAUGAUACAAAAUAAGGAUGACCUUGCCAGAAUAAUCACAGCUGAAAGUGAAAGCCACUGAAGGAGGCACAUGGAGAAAUUCUCUAUUCCGCCUUUUUCCUAGAGUGGUUCUCUGAGGAAGCCCGCCGUGUUUACGGAGACAUUAUCCACACCCCGGCAAAGGACAGGCGGGCCCUGGUCCUCAAGCAGCCCAUAGGCGUGGCUGCAGUCAUCACCCCGGGAAUUUCCCCAGUGCCAUGAUCACCCGGAAGGUGGGGGCCGCCCUGGCAGCCGGCUGUACUGUCGUGGUGAAGCCUGCCGAAGACACGCCCUUCUCCGCCCUGGCCCUGGCUGAGUUGCAAGCCAGGCUGGGAUUCCUUCAGGUGUAUACAAUGUUAUUCCCUGUUCUCGAAAGAAUGCCAAGGAAGUAGGGGAGGCAAUUUGUACUGAUCCUCUGGUGUCCAAAAUUUCCUUUACUGGUUCAACAACUACAGGAAAG